rnacentral:rRNA from 1 species
UACGAAGGGGGCAAGCGUUGUUCGGAAUUACUGGGCGUAAAGGGCGCGUAGGCGGCUUACCAAGUCAGGCGUGGAAUUCCCGGGCUCAACCUGGGGGCUGCGCUUGAUACUGGUGAGCUUGAAUGCGGGAGAGGAUAGUGGAAUUCCCAGUGUAGAGGUGAAAUUCGUAGAUAUUCGGAAGAACACCAGUGGCGAAGGCGGCUAACUGGCCCAUUACUGACGCUGAGGCUCGAAAGCGUGGGGAGCAAACAGG